UACGUAGGGGGCAAGCGUUGUCCGGAAUUAUUGGGCGUAAAGGGCGCGUAGGCGGCGCGGUAUGUCACCUGUGAAAUCUCCUGGCUCAACUGGGAGCUUGCAGGCGAAACUGCCGUGCUGGAGUGUGGGAGAGGUGCGUGGAAUUCCUGGUGUAGCGGUGAAAUGCGUAGAUAUCAGGAGGAACACCUGUGGCGAAAGCGGCGCACUGGACCACAACUGACGCUGAGGCGCGAAAGCUAGGGGAGCAAACAGG
rnacentral:rRNA from 1 species